ACCUAAUGAGAACCAGUUGUAGUGGCCGCAGGCAUACUUUCUCAGAGUCUCUGAUUGGUCAGUGGCUGAGAGCUGUAGCCAAUCAGCGCGGUUUUGGGGUCCGCAUUGCGGACCAAAGGUCCGAGUGGGCAUCUGGCGGGCACAGUGGCCUGCAGAGACUCGAGGUGUGGAGGGCAGAGCCAGGGAGGAAUGAGCAUGUCUUGGGACCCCACAGCCAGGCGCCGUCACCGCCUAUCGCUGCUCCUGGUGCUCAUGCUGCUGUCAGGAGCCCGGGCUCUGUGUCCUGUGGAGCUCUUUCCUUACGGGGAGUUGUGGGGAGAUCGGCUGCCACGGGAGGGCGACGUUGAAGCUCCCCGGCUGUGAAGCCAGCAAUACCUCUAUGCUUCCAUGGUGUCCAGUUCAGCAACCUCUAUGUGGGCACCAAUGGCAUCAUCUCCACCCAGGACUUACCCAGGGAGACUUAACAUGUCAUUGAUGAUUUUCCUACUGACUUCCCAUCCAUCGCCCCAUUCCUGGCUGACAUCCAGUGGAGUCACAGCAGUGGCCGGAUCCUGUAUGGGGGACACCUCCUGGACUGUGCUGAGUCUGUCUGCUUGCUACCUGUGCACAGGCUUCCCGCUGACCGGGUCCAGCUUCCCCACUACCAACUUCUUCCUGGCCACCUGGGAGCAAGUGGACGCCUAGGAGGAGGACAGGCUUGGGGCUGCAUGGUCUGGAGAGGUGAACACGUUCCCGGCCGUUCUGGCAUCCGAAGAAUGUGAUUCCUAUGCCCUCUUUCUCUAUCCUCCCAAUGGUCUUCAGUUUUUGGAACUCACCCCAAAGAAUCCUACAGUGUCCAGCCGCAGCUUCCUGCUAAGGUGGGAUUCUGCCAAGGGGAAGCAGAUGAUGUGAAGAGAAAAGCCCUGUAUUUCAGCCUGACUAACAGUGAGCAGUCGGUGAAGAAUCUCUACCAGUGAAUAAUGUGGAGUGUGUGACUGUGCUAUGCACUGGAAGGACAUUUAGGAGGGACACUAUCUCUAGUGGCCAGAAACCAUUUGAUAAUAACCUCUGGUGGGUUCUAAGAAAGGCGCUGGUUGAAAACCAAGAGCUAAGCUGGACCUCUGGAGCUUCAGGCUGUCCAAGAUUUAAAAGAUUCUUUCUUUAUCCUGCACUAUCGGUCAGGCAUAGAAACCAGAAACAGCAGUGAUUAUAUGUUUUUGCAGAACUACUGGGGCUUGCUGUGAAAAUAUUGUUCUUGGGGCUACAUAAAAAUAUCCAGUCAUAACUAACUGCCUCAGUGGACGCUUUUCUGGAGAGGAGGCAUCAUGAUUCAGUCUUUCAAACAGGUAUUGUUAAGGAUUAAAUUAUGAGUUCUAUAAUGGAGGGGGGAGGUAGAUGAGGCUUUUAGUUGUCUCAGCGUUCUCCUGGCACCAUCACCAGAAAUCAUGCUGACUGGUUUACUCACAGCGUUACCAGAGACAAAUCCAUUUCUUAGUCUCCCCAGUGGGUUAUUUUGCUAGUGCUGCAAUAGGCUAUUCCGCAGGUAUCUGUCCAAUUGGUGCUCCUAAGAGACUAUAGACUUCAGGUGGGCUCUUUUGUCUUUGUAUUUUGCAAUACUAUCUUAGCCCACAGUAGUUACUUUGUGGCUUCCCAUAGUUGCUUCUCAGUCAAACUAGAUCAUGGGCAGAUAGAGUGACAGAGCAAAAAUUUGCCGAUCACUUUAUCUGCAGAGCAUUGUGAUAAAACCCUUGCAGAUAUUAUCUUAAUUAAAACUCUCUGAACUUAUAGGCGGUAAGUAUAACUAUCUUCCCAGUUUUACCAAUAGUCUUACCGAAAUUAUGAAAGGUGCUUAUGUCAGAGUCAAAUGACCGAGCCAUAGUCAAUACACCUCUGACGUAUGGAUACAGGGGUGAUCUCUUAUGCAGAGUAGAUAGGGUGUUUCUUACUUGGAUUUCAUGUUACCUGGUUGUGUGUAUUUUGGUUCAUUUUAUCAGUCACUCCGGUUACAGCUCACUCUGCCCCUCUCCUGCAAUUUUGAUAUUUCUGGAAAGCAUCAAAGGAGACAAUGAAGAACCAGAGUGAAUGGAUGACAGUGUUUGUGUGUGUGUGUGUGUGUGUGUGUGUUAGCGAGCGUGCGAGUGUGUCCAUGGGCGUGCAUGUGUGUGUGAGCACCUGUAUGAAGGCCUUUAUGGCUCUAGUAGGGAAACACAACUUUCUCCUCACAUGCUUUUUGCAUACACAUGAACAAGCACAGACACACGGGCACACACAUACACACGCACAGCAACUUCUCAUGGCUAUGCAGGUACCAAUUCUCAUUCUAAUACUCUGUGAUUCUUGGUCCUUCCCAGAUUCUGUUGGUGUCCAGGGGCUUUGCCUUUAAAAAUCAUAGUAUUUCAAGCACUCAGCCUUAUUUCCAAGGGUUCUACAUACGAGUGUCCCCUCCUGUUCUGUGAUCCAUACCGGGUCUUGGUCUCCAUCUCACCCUAGUCUGUGUAGUCUAGACUCUAGAACAGACUUAGCAGUUGGCCUCUAUCCUUUCUCCUUUAACCUCUUACCCUCUAGCUUAAAGACUCUCUCUCCCCAGGUUGUACCUAGAGUCCCUUGGAAGGAGGGCUGAGUGCUUGAAAUACUACAAUUUUUAAGACACAGGCGUGUGCCAGAAAGGAGCAGUGUGAGACAUGACCAGAGUGAUUGACAAAUUUGGUGUGCCUCAUGCUUAAUAAAAUGAGACAAACUACAGACAAUAAAAUAACAUAAAAUGCAAGUCAGAAUUAUCCUACCACUACUCUGAGUGACAGCGCUGCUACCUCCCCUUUCAGCGUGGGCUUUGCCUCCCAUUCAGUGUUUCCAUACUUAACACUGUCUCCUAGGCUUCUUUCCUCCAGAUUCUGUCAGUAUCGUUGUCUUAAGGGUUGAAACAUUGCAUCACACAUGCCCAGCAUUGAGGACAUUUGUAAACUAAAGUAGCUCAGGAUCAUGGUCCUAGCUCCCUCUGGAUGCUUUGCUGUACCCCUCCAAGUAGAAGAACAUUUUCCUAGUCCUGGAAUGUCUUCCUCCAACAAAGGUCAUACAUUAUUCAUAUUUGCAGGCCUCUUCUGAAACAUAUGCAUAUUCAGGCAGGGAAGAGAGUAGUUCCUGGGAAGGGAUUAGUCACAGGCAGGCCAGCAUGGCUGUUCUGUUUGUGAUACAGUUUUUCUUUCUAGGAGACAAAUUCUAUCUGUGAGCAUUCAUAAAGGACCUCAGUGUGGAGGGUAAAUUAACUGUUUAGAUUCCCACCAGGCACUGUGGCAAACGCCAGGAUAUUGAUUUAUGUCUCAUUAGAAGGCAUUUAUUUAGAUCCACUCUUGCAUGAUUUGUAUUUUCUUAUUCUUUGAAGCUUUGAAGCUGUCCACUUCCAAACUCAAGAGGUUUCCCAGCUGCAAUACCCUGCUGUGGGAUGGGCUGGGGCUCCAGAGUCUCUUCUUACUGAUUGGGUUCAGUUUUUAAAAUUACAUUACUGUGUGGGAGUUGGGGAUUGGAGGCAGCUGGUGGGGAGGUGUCUGGGUCGGAAUCCAGUUUGUCAGAGUUUGUGCUCUCCCCCUACCACGUGGAUUCUGGGUAUAGCUCUAAGCUCUUGUAGGUAAGUGGCUUUCCCCGCUAAGUCAUUUUUUCAGCCUGGAGUUUUGUCUUCUGUGGUGUGUUUUAUUUGCAACCCUAAUUUCUAUAAGCACCAACUGAGGGCAAGAGUUGAAGCUCUGCUGGUAGGACAUUGCCUUGCAGACACAAAGCCCAGAGUUUUGACCUUGGUGCCACACAAACAGGGUUUAGUAUCACUCCUGGUAUCCCAGUGUUUGGGAGGUGCAGGCAGGAGGAAUAGAAGCUCAAGGUUAUCAUCAGCUACAUGAGACUGUGUCUCAAAAAAUGAAAAGAAACCUUAGCAAUUGAAUAUAACAAAUCACAGAAGGGACGAACACUGAUCUGAUUGGGGAGGAGAGGGUUUAUUUGGUUUACUGUCCUGGGUCACACAGUGCAUUAGGGGAGCCAAGGCAGGAACUAAAGCAAGACAGGAACCUAGAAGGAGGUAGGAACUGGAGCGGAAGCCAUGGAGGAACAUUAUUAUUGGCUUGGUUCCUCUGUCUUACUCAGCUGGAUUUCUUACACAACCAGAGAUGGUACCCUAGGGUGGUAUCACCCAUAGUGAACUGCUCUUCCAAGAAGACGCCCCUCCCCCAGACUUGCCUUCAGGCCUGUGUGAUUGAGGCAAUCUCUUCUCAGGUCUGCAUCAAGGUGACGAAAUCUAGCCAGUGCAGCAGAGUAUCAUGAAUACACUUGGGUACAGGUAGUGGCUACUGGACAGUGCACAGAAUGAGAGAGAGAUAGAGAACUGAAGAAAACCUCAACUCUCUUCAUUAUUGCAGUAGAAACCUAGACUAGAAUGAUGAAUACUUGCCCCAGUGAACAAAGAUCUUGUUAUAUGAUUCAGUGAAUCUUAAUACCUCUUUUUAGCCAUUCCCUCUUAUUCUUGAUUGUUGAUUCUUGAGGAAAUUACAGAUUGUGGGAUAAUUUGAGCUUUGGUAUUUUGUGCAAACACAGGAUUGAUAUCAUUGGCUAGGUCCCGUUUUCCAGAGUCAUUUUUUUCUCCAUCUUUAUUAAAUUGGGUAUUUUUUAUUUACAUUUCAAUUGUUAUUCCCUUUCCUGGUUUCCAGGCCAACAUCCCCCUAACACCUUUCCCCUCCCACUCUAUAUGGGUGUUCCCCUCCCCAUCCUCCCCCCAUUACCGCCCUCCCCCCAACAAUCUCGUUCACUGGAGGUUCCCUCUUGGCAGGAUGAAGGGCUUCCCCUUCCACUGGUGCCCUUACUAGACUAUUCAUUGUUACCUAUGCGGUUGGAGCCCAGGGUCAGUCUUUGGGUAGUGACUUAGCCACCUGAAGCUCUGAUUGGUUGGCAUUGUUGUUCAUAUGGGGUUUCAAACCCCUUCAAGCUCUUUAAGUCCUUUCUCUGAUUCCUUCAAUCGGGUGGUCCCGUUCUCGGUUCAGUGGUUUGCUGCUGGCGUUCGCCUAUGCAUUUGCCAUAUUCUGGCUGUGUCUCUGAGGAGAGAUCUACAUCCAGUUCCUGUCAGCCUGCACUUCUUUGUUUCAUCCAUCUUAUCUAGUUCGGUGGGUGUAUAUAUAUGGGCCACAUGUGGGGCAGGCUCUGAAUGGACGUUCCUUCAUUCUUCCAGAGACUUCCUAACCCGAGCUUUCUCUUAGGGUUAGGAGUCAUCUUACACAUGGCUGUCCUCUUCACAGCAAGCGUUCAUUGACACUGAGAUAGCAGGUGACUGAGCUGGCAAGAGUAGUGCCACAUCCCAGCAGAAGAUCUUAAGUUUCAGGAUAGCUGGGACUAUCUGGUGAGACUCCUCUAAGAAAAGAGAUUCUUGGGAACUAACAGGGUUUCAUGGCCUACUCUACAGAGAAAAUGAAGAUCUGUUCCCAAAUACUGAGCCUCAUUUUGAUUAAUACAUUUGUAUCUUACCUAUGUUGAACUUUUGCUCAAAAAUUGUUUUAGACUUGGUCAUUAAAAAGUACUGAUAGAUCUAUCAUCCUCUGUCAUUAAUAUAUUAGUCCAUGUGAAUCAGAUUACACAGAGAUGUUUGGAAGACAAAGUUUCGUGGUAGCAUGAAAUUCUUGCCGGGGCUUUGCCAACUUUUGGCUGUAUGAUCUGAAGAUUAGCUAACCUCUCAAAACCAACUUUUUCCUCACUAAGAACUAGCACAGCUACCACCCCUAUCUUGCAGAGUACAGUGAAGACUGAUAAGCACUGGUGUAGGCAUGGCUUGUAGAAAUCAGUACUAUUUAAGUGUUUUAGGAAUUUUAAGCUUAAGUAAGCUUGAGUCUGAUUUAAGUUUUCAUUCACGUCGAGAAAGCAUAAAAUAUUCUUGCAUUCCAUGUUUGCUCUCAAGACAGCCAGGUUUUUGACAGAAUAUUUGAUUUGGGCUUCUGGAGCAGAUAUAUAACCUGAUGGCUUAGUGUUCCAUACACAAUGCCAGACAAAAGGCAGCUUAUAACAAAGUUCCUGUACGGUAUUUAUCUCAGUUACUUAGAAGCUUUGCUUCUGUUUGGCAUAGCAUGGAAAGUUUGACUUUGAUCGUUAAAGUCUUUUGAUUUCAAUAUGAAUUCUGAAGAAGGAUGAAUGGACUGGUUACAAUCCACUCUUUCCUCUGUUCUUAGACUAAGCAACCCGGGGAUUCUUGGGGCGUGGGCUUUUCACAUCAGCAGCAGGCUGGCCCUGGACAAUGUCUGGCCAGUCACGGUCAGAGGUGACCAUUCCACAGCCUGCUCCUCAGCGCUGGAGCACUCCUUCAACCAUGCUGCAGCCCUGGAGAUCUGUAUUGAGGACAGUUGCAAUUAUCACAAGGAGAUUGGAGAGGAUGUAGAAUACCCACCAAUUGAACCGGGGAAGGCCCUGGAAGACCACAGCAGAAUCGAUGUAUUUAUGUGUCUUUCAAAUCAAAAGCUAAUUCGAGCUUUGUGGAUGUUGGCACCACGUCUCCAGAUUCUGAUCACGCUUCUCCUUUGCCACACCCAGCACCUGGUAACUGGCCAUCCUACCGGGAAACAGAAUUGACUUCUUGUUCCAUCAAAUCAAACAGGGGCCACCUGUGGGAGAGGUAGAGGUCCUGGAUUUCAAGGACCCAGCAUUGCUUUUGGAACCAGUGGGCACCAGAACCCCAGCUCCUCCACAGGCAGAUGCAGCUUUCCUAACUCCAGGCAGGAAAGACCUUGGGAACAGAAACACGAGGUCCUAUCCAGAGGUAGAAAGCCUCUUCGGGACCCUGAAUAACUGGGUCCCCGCUGGUGGGGACAAGUGGCGCCCGAACACAGGGACCCCGAAGCAAGGCCGACUACAGGACGAUGGAGAUAAGAGAGCUGCAGCGGGAAUCAAGGACUCUUCAGGCCGCAUCGCUCGUGCAUCGCUGGAGAGGGAAGUAAGGACCGGUCGAAUAAUUGUCGUCUAAUUGCCAUGGGGAAGGUAUGGAUUUAGGAGGCUUGUUUCAUAGGAGAGAUCAAGCGCUCACUCAGGGAGAGAGGAUUAAGAGUUAAAAAAAAGGAUUUAAUCAAGUUUUUUUGUUUUAUUGAUGAAAGGUGUCCCUGGUUAAUUUUAAGCAGUGUGGGGCUAGCUUAAGUAAAACUUGUAAUAAAAAAGGGACAAGGUAAUGGUAAAGUGUUUUUGCAUAUGCGUUCUUUUAGAGUUAUAUUUUAGUCUUUGGACCCUGACUAGAGAUAGUUUACACCCUAGACAUGAGAGAGAAUGGGUUUGGGAAAAACAGUCCUCCCGGACUCUCCGCAGAUGCUUUGGAGAAAGAGAAAAACCUUUUCAGAGCUCUCUUAGGAACAGAGGGAAAGCAGGAGACGUCCUGCCUCUCUGCUGGCUCCUAUUGGAGAAAUGCUUAUUUCUAGUUCUGGGUUCCAUAGGUAGGAUAUGUGGGUCCCUUUCGUGGGACACCAUCUAGUUUUUUCCCUCUAUGUCUAUUGUGUGUCCUUGGUGCACCAAGCUAUCCAUGUCUGUCAGUUUAUGUCUGUGGUCUUUGUUUCUCGUUGUUUAAAUGUUUUAUGUUUCGUGUUUAAAAGAAAAAAUGAUAAAAACUUUAUCUGCCAGUCGUUCACACCUUGACUUGGUUUUAACUCGUUUCAAGAAGGGAACAAUGCAUAAAAAACAGUUUCAAUUGGCUUUUGGAGCCUACAUCUGUAGCUAGAAGCCUAAGUCUGCUGGACAAGCUCCCCAGGGGCUGGCUAAAUGUUUAUACUAGCUGAUCCUAAAGACACCAGGAGCUUUCACAGCUUAAAAGGUGUAACAUUGGUAACAGAAAGUUGGCUUAAAACUGUAAUUUGGAUAUGAGCCAACCUAGGGAAACAGGUCCAAAUUGAGGUAAUAUUUUUAUGGAAUUCUUAUUCUAAAAACCAGGUUUCUAAAAGAUUUUAGGGCAAUGUCUCUUUUUUGAGGUAUUGGAGACCGCACCAUCGUGCGUUCGUAUGUAGGAAUUGGCAGUCAUAGCCAAAGUUCUGGUUUGCCCUAAAGUUACUGUAUUUUGAUGCUAAUUCCACUGCCCCAAGAACAGCUGCCUAGUCACAUACUCAGAAUUCAGGUGACUUUCCAAAGUUGUGGCUGUGCUCUGGUGUUACAAAGAGAUCUUAAAGAUUGUGAUUAAAGAUUGUCAGUGUUACAUUGACUAACUCAAACUUAUUUAUAAUUAAGAAAAAAAUCAAACAGGUAGAGAUUGUUACAGGAUUUAAAAAGGAUUGAUGAGGUUUUAGAACUUGUGAGAGCAUUACAGCUUGUUUGCUUAUCCAACUGCCAUUUCAAGAUAGAUUUAGAGGAUUAUUUUUAUACAAUUUGUUUACAUCCUGGCGAUUGUGAGUUUUCAUUUCGUGAGCUUGCUUAUAAUUUUAGAGAGCCCAUAAAGUGAUAUCAUUAAAAUUUUUACUAAAGAAUGGCUAAUAGCCUUAUAUUAUGUAAUUUUGUCGCUUCUUCAAUGUAAGAAGUUAGAACUUUAAAUCUUUAAGUGUAUAUAGAAAUUUUUACUACAAACUUUUGCUCUCUAAAUGAGCUUUAAUAUUUGGGGAGUAGCUGUUAGACUACUCCAGAAAAGAGUAUUUAAAACUAAUUUUAAGCUACUAAGGAUAUGUUAGUUGGCUAAGUACCUCACCUUACCAGAGGACUUAGGUCUUUGUUUGUUAUCCUCAUUGGAGAUAAAGCUUCAGUUGUGUUAAUACAGAAUUGUAGGCUACAGUCAUGGAAGUAUUUUAAAAAGCCAAACAACAGUUAAUUGGUUAUUACAAAAUACUGAUAUUUGGCCUAUUACAUAUACAAAUUUUUCAGGCAAAAUUGAUAAUUUUACUCUUUACAUGUUUUUGUAUUUCCUGUAUAUUUGUGCAUACAACCCAUAGGAAAUGCGCUUACUGUAUUUAUAGGUGGUUCAUCUAAUGAAAAGGCUACAUGUAUGAUUGGAUCACUUGUUUAUUCUCUUGAGUUUCUGCUGCUUCAGCACAGAUUAUUAAAUUCCUGGCUUUAGCCACUGUUUUUAUAAUGUUAAAAAAAUCAAGCUUUCAAUUCACAUACUGAUAGCCAAUGUGUGGCUUGUGGUUUACGAUUGAUUUCAAUUACUUAAUGCUUUAUUAGAGACAAGUUUUCUACAUGAAAUCAGUGAGUGAUUUCAGUGUAAAUUGUCUGACAACUCACUGUCCUUUCAGUGCUCUGGCUCAGACAACUAAACAAAACCAUAGACCCAGCUCUUUGAAAAUGGUAAUGGAGUUGAUAACACACCCUCUUGAAAAGAGGAAGACUCCAUUUGCUUACUUUCAACUCCCAGCCUCACCCUACCGGCUCAGGGAUUUCUAGUGCGACUAAAUCUGGACAAUAUUUAUAGGAUUUGGCAUCUCUAAUUAAUGCUUAUGUUUAGGUAAAUAAAGCUGGUGAGGGGCUGGAGAGAUGGCUCAGUGGUUAAGAGCACUAAGUACUGUUCCUUUAUAGGCCAUUUAAGAACUCAAACUGGAUUGCCUAGACCCCUUAACAAGGGAGGACAAUGAUACCAGACAGAUUAUAGGCCUUACAUAGGAACAAUUAGUCAAAAAAUCUCAUUCUUUAUAUAUCCAAAACAGUAAUGCUGGAGACAAUAAUUUGGUAUAAAAGUCAAUUUAUAAAUACAAGUGCUCAGUGUCCUCAAUUUAAUCCUUAAGGACUUAUCUUAAUAAAUAAUAUUUUAACAAUAUUUUAAUAAAUAAAAAGGGGAGUUAUCCCUGUAUGCUAAAAUAUGCUCCUUUUAUUUCAAUUUUAAAAUUUGGAUGCCAAGGAACACUCUGAGUUUAUGGCACCCUACAGCUAGGCAUACUUCUGCCUAGGUGAAAUAGAAAGAUCCACAUAUUGGCAUGAUCCUGUUCAGAUAUUUUAUAUGGGGAAGAGGGAAUCUUUGUGUUUUUUCUACAGGAUGCUACAGGAGUGUGCCAGCUGCCUGAUGGCUGGUGAGACUUGCUGAUCCUGUGAGCAUGAAGAUUCAGCUCUCCUGGUUCGGGUCCCUGGAGUCAUUCCUGUGUCCUUGGAGGAAUAUGGAGGAUUCCCACUCAUCUUUUGUCAUCACAGAAAUUCUGGCCUUGCUGCAGUCAUUGUGUCCUGUCCCACCACAGCCUGCGCUCCGACCCUCUGUGCACUGUUGCUUGGUGGAAGCUGCUGUGGACUGGGGAACUCUGCCCUGUUUUGCAGAUCUCAGACAUGGUCCCAUUGCCUGCUGGUUGUUCCAGAGAAGAAUGACCGAUCCUGAACUGUCCUGGGAAAGACCUUGGCAUUUUCGCUGAUAUUGUAGCAGCCAUUACUGCUGCAGCCAUUGUGUCUGCAGUGUCUGGAGCUACCCUCCCCCAAUCUAUUGUUAGGCAAGCACAGUGGGUGAACUUUCUGGAGUAGUUGCUAACAAUUGGGAAUUCUAAAUUUUAUUACAGGAGAGGCUUGACUAGGUCCUUGGUGGUAUGGCCAUAGCAGCUGAGGAGAACCAGAUGAGGUGCCCACUACUUAUUGGGAGAGGCUCAAUUUCCACAAUCUCUUAUAUUAAUGCCAUCUGGCUCCUGCUCCUUCACCCCUGGGCUCAAGUAAGAGGAAUGAGAAGAUGAUCCAAUGUAGCUUUCCUCAGUGACGGGCAACUUCCUCUGACCCUUGACCAAUCUAGACAUGGAGCCUUGAGGGUGACAAGGUGGUCCUAUGACAGAGAGGCUGGGGUUUGAGAGGUCGAUCCUAAGACAGAGGUGGCUACACCCCGUUUAAACGUGCAGGCCGGUCAAAUGCUCCUCUGCCCAGUUUCUCCCCCAAUAACACACACGUAUAGCCCAAAACGGUGUGUUACAGCAUAAGUUCAUUCCUAGCCAUUGGGGUGCAGUCCUAACUGCAAGAGUGGCUUGCCAUGGCCGAGCUGGGCACUCUGUGAGGCAUGUCUGAUCUCUCUCAGACCACUACUUCCACCUAAUGGUUUUUUUUUUUUUAAAGAAAAAUGGGGGAGAUGCACGGAGCCAUAUUGGAUUUGGGCCUAGCCGCUUUUUGACUGCAUGGUUCAAAGUGACUCUGGGCUGUUUGGCCACAGAGACUCACCCCGAAGAUGACUGCCAUAAAUCUUAAGAUUGUUGGAUAAAGCCUCUCCCAUGAAUUUACGGCACAGGAGUAUAACAUUCAAGGGAUGCCUCAGCUCGAGCAGAUACCAGUUAUCUCCUCAGUCAACACCCAGUGUCUCCACCACCUGACCUCAUCGCCUGACUUCUUUGCCUCCAGCUAUCACUGCCUAUACCCUCAUCUCCCCCUCCUUCAUAUUUCACAAAGGUCACUCCCCCUACCUGAAAGCCUUAAAAGCUGCAAUGUUCAUCCCAAUAAACGAGACCUUGACAACAGAACUUUUGCUUGGUCUCCUUCUUCUCUUCACCCCCAUUUUGGCCCACAGGUAGAAAGCCUCUUCGGGACCCUGAAUAACUGGGUCCCCGCUGGUGGGGACAAGUGGCGCCCGAACACAGGGACCCCGAAGCAAGGCCGACUACAGGACGAUGGAGAUAAGAGAGCUGCAGCGGGAAUCAAGGACUCUUCAGGCCGCAUCGCUCGUGCAUCGCUGGAGAGGGAAGUAAGGACCGGUCGAAUAAUUGUCGUCUAAUUGCCAUGGGGAAGGUAUGGAUUUAGGAGGCUUGUUUCAUAGGAGAGAUCAAGCGCUCACUCAGGGAGAGAGGAUUAAGAGUUAAAAAAAAGGAUUUAAUCAAGUUUUUUUGUUUUAUUGAUGAAAGGUGUCCCUGGUUAAUUUUAAGCAGUGUGGGGCUAGCUUAAGUAAAACUUGUAAUAAAAAAGGGACAAGGUAAUGGUAAAGUGUUUUUGCAUAUGCGUUCUUUUAGAGUUAUAUUUUAGUCUUUGGACCCUGACUAGAGAUAGUUUACACCCUAGACAUGAGAGAGAAUGGGUUUGGGAAAAACAGUCCUCCCGGACUCUCCGCAGAUGCUUUGGAGAAAGAGAAAAACCUUUUCAGAGCUCUCUUAGGAACAGAGGGAAAGCAGGAGACGUCCUGCCUCUCUGCUGGCUCCUAUUGGAGAAAUGCUUAUUUCUAGUUCUGGGUUCCAUAGGUAGGAUAUGUGGGUCCCUUUCGUGGGACACCAUCUAGUUUUUUCCCUCUAUGUCUAUUGUGUGUCCUUGGUGCACCAAGCUAUCCAUGUCUGUCAGUUUAUGUCUGUGGUCUUUGUUUCUCGUUGUUUAAAUGUUUUAUGUUUCGUGUUUAAAAGAAAAAAUGAUAAAAACUUUAUCUGCCAGUCGUUCACACCUUGACUUGGUUUUAACUCGUUUCAAGAAGGGAACAAUGCAUAAAAAACAGUUUCAAUUGGCUUUUGGAGCCUACAUCUGUAGCUAGAAGCCUAAGUCUGCUGGACAAGCUCCCCAGGGGCUGGCUAAAUGUUUAUACUAGCUGAUCCUAAAGACACCAGGAGCUUUCACAGCUUAAAAGGUGUAACAUUGGUAACAGAAAGUUGGCUUAAAACUGUAAUUUGGAUAUGAGCCAACCUAGGGAAACAGGUCCAAAUUGAGGUAAUAUUUUUAUGGAAUUCUUAUUCUAAAAACCAGGUUUCUAAAAGAUUUUAGGGCAAUGUCUCUUUUUUGAGGUAUUGGAGACCGCACCAUCGUGCGUUCGUAUGUAGGAAUUGGCAGUCAUAGCCAAAGUUCUGGUUUGCCCUAAAGUUACUGUAUUUUGAUGCUAAUUCCACUGCCCCAAGAACAGCUGCCUAGUCACAUACUCAGAAUUCAGGUGACUUUCCAAAGUUGUGGCUGUGCUCUGGUGUUACAAAGAGAUCUUAAAGAUUGUGAUUAAAGAUUGUCAGUGUUACAUUGACUAACUCAAACUUAUUUAUAAUUAAGAAAAAAAUCAAACAGGUAGAGAUUGUUACAGGAUUUAAAAAGGAUUGAUGAGGUUUUAGAACUUGUGAGAGCAUUACAGCUUGUUUGCUUAUCCAACUGCCAUUUCAAGAUAGAUUUAGAGGAUUAUUUUUAUACAAUUUGUUUACAUCCUGGCGAUUGUGAGUUUUCAUUUCGUGAGCUUGCUUAUAAUUUUAGAGAGCCCAUAAAGUGAUAUCAUUAAAAUUUUUACUAAAGAAUGGCUAAUAGCCUUAUAUUAUGUAAUUUUGUCGCUUCUUCAAUGUAAGAAGUUAGAACUUUAAAUCUUUAAGUGUAUAUAGAAAUUUUUACUACAAACUUUUGCUCUCUAAAUGAGCUUUAAUAUUUGGGGAGUAGCUGUUAGACUACUCCAGAAAAGAGUAUUUAAAACUAAUUUUAAGCUACUAAGGAUAUGUUAGUUGGCUAAGUACCUCACCUUACCAGAGGACUUAGGUCUUUGUUUGUUAUCCUCAUUGGAGAUAAAGCUUCAGUUGUGUUAAUACAGAAUUGUAGGCUACAGUCAUGGAAGUAUUUUAAAAAGCCAAACAACAGUUAAUUGGUUAUUACAAAAUACUGAUAUUUGGCCUAUUACAUAUACAAAUUUUUCAGGCAAAAUUGAUAAUUUUACUCUUUACAUGUUUUUGUAUUUCCUGUAUAUUUGUGCAUACAACCCAUAGGAAAUGCGCUUACUGUAUUUAUAGGUGGUUCAUCUAAUGAAAAGGCUACAUGUAUGAUUGGAUCACUUGUUUAUUCUCUUGAGUUUCUGCUGCUUCAGCACAGAUUAUUAAAUUCCUGGCUUUAGCCACUGUUUUUAUAAUGUUAAAAAAAUCAAGCUUUCAAUUCACAUACUGAUAGCCAAUGUGUGGCUUGUGGUUUACGAUUGAUUUCAAUUACUUAAUGCUUUAUUAGAGACAAGUUUUCUACAUGAAAUCAGUGAGUGAUUUCAGUGUAAAUUGUCUGACAACUCACUGUCCUUUCAGUGCUCUGGCUCAGACAACUAAACAAAACCAUAGACCCAGCUCUUUGAAAAUGGUAAUGGAGUUGAUAACACACCCUCUUGAAAAGAGGAAGACUCCAUUUGCUUACUUUCAACUCCCAGCCUCACCCUACCGGCUCAGGGAUUUCUAGUGCGACUAAAUCUGGACAAUAUUUAUAGGAUUUGGCAUCUCUAAUUAAUGCUUAUGUUUAGGUAAAUAAAGCUGGUGAGGGGCUGGAGAGAUGGCUCAGUGGUUAAGAGCACUAAGUACUGUUCCUUUAUAGGCCAUUUAAGAACUCAAACUGGAUUGCCUAGACCCCUUAACAAGGGAGGACAAUGAUACCAGACAGAUUAUAGGCCUUACAUAGGAACAAUUAGUCAAAAAAUCUCAUUCUUUAUAUAUCCAAAACAGUAAUGCUGGAGACAAUAAUUUGGUAUAAAAGUCAAUUUAUAAAUACAAGUGCUCAGUGUCCUCAAUUUAAUCCUUAAGGACUUAUCUUAAUAAAUAAUAUUUUAACAAUAUUUUAAUAAAUAAAAAGGGGAGUUAUCCCUGUAUGCUAAAAUAUGCUCCUUUUAUUUCAAUUUUAAAAUUUGGAUGCCAAGGAACACUCUGAGUUUAUGGCACCCUACAGCUAGGCAUACUUCUGCCUAGGUGAAAUAGAAAGAUCCACAUAUUGGCAUGAUCCUGUUCAGAUAUUUUAUAUGGGGAAGAGGGAAUCUUUGUGUUUUUUCUACAGGAUGCUACAGGAGUGUGCCAGCUGCCUGAUGGCUGGUGAGACUUGCUGAUCCUGUGAGCAUGAAGAUUCAGCUCUCCUGGUUCGGGUCCCUGGAGUCAUUCCUGUGUCCUUGGAGGAAUAUGGAGGAUUCCCACUCAUCUUUUGUCAUCACAGAAAUUCUGGCCUUGCUGCAGUCAUUGUGUCCUGUCCCACCACAGCCUGCGCUCCGACCCUCUGUGCACUGUUGCUUGGUGGAAGCUGCUGUGGACUGGGGAACUCUGCCCUGUUUUGCAGAUCUCAGACAUGGUCCCAUUGCCUGCUGGUUGUUCCAGAGAAGAAUGACCGAUCCUGAACUGUCCUGGGAAAGACCUUGGCAUUUUCGCUGAUAUUGUAGCAGCCAUUACUGCUGCAGCCAUUGUGUCUGCAGUGUCUGGAGCUACCCUCCCCCAAUCUAUUGUUAGGCAAGCACAGUGGGUGAACUUUCUGGAGUAGUUGCUAACAAUUGGGAAUUCUAAAUUUUAUUACAGGAGAGGCUUGACUAGGUCCUUGGUGGUAUGGCCAUAGCAGCUGAGGAGAACCAGAUGAGGUGCCCACUACUUAUUGGGAGAGGCUCAAUUUCCACAAUCUCUUAUAUUAAUGCCAUCUGGCUCCUGCUCCUUCACCCCUGGGCUCAAGUAAGAGGAAUGAGAAGAUGAUCCAAUGUAGCUUUCCUCAGUGACGGGCAACUUCCUCUGACCCUUGACCAAUCUAGACAUGGAGCCUUGAGGGUGACAAGGUGGUCCUAUGACAGAGAGGCUGGGGUUUGAGAGGUCGAUCCUAAGACAGAGGUGGCUACACCCCGUUUAAACGUGCAGGCCGGUCAAAUGCUCCUCUGCCCAGUUUCUCCCCCAAUAACACACACGUAUAGCCCAAAACGGUGUGUUACAGCAUAAGUUCAUUCCUAGCCAUUGGGGUGCAGUCCUAACUGCAAGAGUGGCUUGCCAUGGCCGAGCUGGGCACUCUGUGAGGCAUGUCUGAUCUCUCUCAGACCACUACUUCCACCUAAUGGUUUUUUUUUUUUUAAAGAAAAAUGGGGGAGAUGCACGGAGCCAUAUUGGAUUUGGGCCUAGCCGCUUUUUGACUGCAUGGUUCAAAGUGACUCUGGGCUGUUUGGCCACAGAGACUCACCCCGAAGAUGACUGCCAUAAAUCUUAAGAUUGUUGGAUAAAGCCUCUCCCAUGAAUUUACGGCACAGGAGUAUAACAUUCAAGGGAUGCCUCAGCUCGAGCAGAUACCAGUUAUCUCCUCAGUCAACACCCAGUGUCUCCACCACCUGACCUCAUCGCCUGACUUCUUUGCCUCCAGCUAUCACUGCCUAUACCCUCAUCUCCCCCUCCUUCAUAUUUCACAAAGGUCACUCCCCCUACCUGAAAGCCUUAAAAGCUGCAAUGUUCAUCCCAAUAAACGAGACCUUGACAACAGAA